rnacentral:Y_RNA from 1 species
AGCUGGUCCAAAGGUAGCAAGUUAUCUCAAUUGGUUGUUCAGUCAGUUACAGACCAAACUCUGUUCUACCCUUUCCCCUGUUCUCACUACUGCUCUUGACUAGUAUUUU